UUUUUUUUUUAUUUUUUUUUGUUAUUUCUUCUCUUUAUACGACAUGCAAAUUGCAUUUAAUUGAGCUCUAAAUGCAAAUUUCUGGCGCUGCUGUGUUUUGAUUUCAUUGUUAUAAGCGCGUGCGGUUUAAAUGAAUGUGCACCAGCAUGCGGAGUGCAUCUAUGCGUCUAUAUGAAUAAGCGAGCAGAGAGACGGGUGGAUAAAUAGACGGAUGGAUGGAUAAAUGGAUGACUGGAUGCUUGAUGCCAUAUGGAUAACUAACCGAGUGAACAUACUUGAGGCUUCACUGAAAUAGCUUAUAAUUGGAUUGACUUAUUUAAUUGAGCAACGCCAUGCUCAACUGCCUAUAAGCUUUUCUCUGCUGCCCAUCGAUCAGGUUGGGUAUGCAUAUGUUUUAAUUUACGCCACAAUAAAAAAUCAAUAAGGCCCUCAAUCAAAAUUGGACACGAGCCACUGGCACGCCCCCGCAUUGGGCCACGGCUCAACUUUAUUAUCAACUUUGUCUAACAAUGCUAAUGAUGCCCCAAGUAAAAGUUGCCUCAAAAUUUUCCAAUUUAUCGAAGCCUGUUUCGAUGGCUGCGUGGGCCGCAAAGCUUGUAAAAUUAUAAGUUUGUUAAUGCCUAAAAGAGGUUGGUUGGAAAAUAAAAGAAAUAUAAUUAAAUUACAGCGAUAGGCAU